rnacentral:rRNA from 1 species
UACGAAGGGGACUAGCGUUGUUCGGAAUUACUGGGCGUAAAGGGCGCGUAGGCGGCCUUCUAAGUCGGACGUGAAAUCCCUCGGCUUAACCGAGGAACUGCGUCCGAUACUGGAAGGCUUGAAUCCGGGAGAGGGAUGUGGAAUUCCCGGUGUAGCGGUGAAAUGCGCAGAUAUCGGGAGGAACACCGGUGGCGAAGGCGGUUCUCUGGGCCUGACCUGACGCUGAGGAGCGAAAGCGUGGGGAGCGAACAGG